rnacentral:lncRNA from 1 species
CUCCCCAACUUUUGUCUCCAUCUUCCAAUGGCUAGUUUUUGAAGUUUUCCGUUGGCAUAUUGAUGCACUUCCAGCUGAAAAAAUGACUUUUGCAAUUUCCAACAUUUAUUUGUAAAAUUUUUAUUUUUGAAAAAUUUAGAAAAAAUAUUUUCUAUUAUUUUAUUUUAUUUCCUAGCUGAAAAUGAAUUUUUUGAAUAUUUUCAAAAUUUUUAUAUAUAUAUAUUUUAAGAUAACUACCGAUUACCUUGGGCGG